AGUCAUAAUCUAAAUUCGAUUAAUACCUUUGGGGUAGUCUCCAACCAAUCGAAAACGACGAUGGAUCGACGCAUCACGUUAACAGAAGAACCCUGAUGUAGCUGUUUCCACCUUCCACAAUCACAGCCAUUACACAACACCAACACAGAUCUCUAUACUUGCAAUCCAUGGCGACCUUAGACGAAACCAGUGCCGAAACGUUUCGUCAAAAACCAAAUCCCAGAAACUAUCCUCAACGACUCAUCUCUCAAUGCCGCCAUCUCCCUCUUGCCCUCCAACUACAACUUGGAAGUCCACAAGUGUGUCUGGCGCAUCCGCUCCACCAGAGCCAAGCGUCUCGCUCUCCAGCUCCCUGAGGGCUUGCUUAUGUAUUCGCUUAUUCUUUCGGAUAUAUUCACCGCCUUCGCCGGCGUUACCCACUGUUUCGUCCUCGGCGACGUCACUUAUGGCGCCUGUUGUGUGGACGACCUCUCCGCCUUGGCGUUAGGUGCUGAUCUUCUAAUUCACUAUGGCCAUAGCUGCUUGGUCCCCAUCGAUGCUACGAAAGUUCCUUGCCUUUACGUUUUUGUUGACAUUAAAAUCGAUGUUGAGCCCCUGAUUAGCACCAUCAAACUCAAUUUGAAUGAUAAAAAAAGCAUUGUUCUCGCGGGUACUAUUCAGUUCGCAUCUGCGAUUCGAGAAGCAAUGCCUGAGUUGGAAAAGCUGGGCCUUUCGGUUUUGAUCCCUCAAUCGAAACCCUUAUCUGCCGGUGAACUAUUGGGUUGCACGGCACCCAGAAUAUCAUCGAAAUCUGUAAUUGGUAGUUUCAGUGACAUGGUUGUGGUAUUUGUGGCGGAUGGGAGGUUCCAUUUGGAGGCGUUUAUGAUAGCUAAUCCUGAGAUUAGUGCGUUUAGGUAUGACCCAUAUCUGGGGAAGCUGUUUCUUGAGGAAUAUGAUCAUCAAGGAAUGAAGGAGACGAGGAAGAGGGCAAUAGAGAGGGCAAGGGAAGCCAAGAGUUGGGGGAUUGUGUUGGGCACAUUGGGAAGGCAAGGCAAUCCGAGGAUUUUAGAUAGGUUGGAGAAGAAGAUGAGAGAAAAACAUUUUUCUUAUACCGUUGUUUUGAUGUCAGAGAUUAGUCCUACUAGGAUUGCCUUAUUUGAGCAAUCUGUGGAUGCUUGGAUUCAGAUUGCAUGUCCUCGGCUCUCUAUUGAUUGGGGAGAGGCAUUUGAGAAGCCUCUUUUGACACCUUUUGAAGCAGAGAUUGCUGUUGGGGAUUUACCAGGUUGGUGGGAGAAGGAUAAGAGUGUAGUGGCAAACUCAGGGUGUUGCAAUGGUCUUGGAUGUGGGCACAGCAAUGGAUUGUGUUCUGGAUGUGGCAAUGAAGCUGCAAAGGAUGUAAAGGGUGUAGGUGAUUCUUUUGCUGGUGAUUAUCCCAUGGAUUACUAUGCUCAGGAUGGUGGGGAGUGGAAUUCCUCUUAUUUGAAGAAAGCAACUCGCCCUAUAAGAAGAAAUGUGGUGUCCUCUACCAGUGAUGGUGCUGCUUUGUAGCAUCACUACCUCUUAAGGAUUGUAUUACAUGUGCUUUGUAGCAUCAUUAGCCCAUAAAGAUUUUAUUACAAAAAUUAUGCUGAGCUGAGGCAGACAAUGGGAAGGAAUCAUGAAGCUGUUAUGAACUUGAGUUUGGAUAAUGUCCAAGGGCUACUGGGUUGAGGUUUAUUAUUGUUUUUGCCUUUGUGUUUGCAAACUAUUGUGGAAGAACUAGCGGUGCUUGUUACAGAGAACUGUCCCGUCUCUGAUUAUUUAGGAGAUUCAAUUCUGGAAUGAACUUAGCUGCCCUUUAGUUGAUUUCAACUAGCUUUUAAAUACAAAAGUAUAGCAGAAAAACCAAUAAAGAUUCUCCAGUUUUUAAUUACUUUAGUUUAUUUGCAGCAAUAGAAGUUUAAAAUUUAAAACUCAAACAGCCACAUCUAAUCCAGCUUCUUUUUCCAAUGUGAAUAGUGCCUGUAGAUCUGUCUAAAGUGGGUGUCCACCUUAACUGAAUUUCCCUGUUCCAUAUUGGAGCUCAUAACAGAUGCCCUAUAAAAGAUUAAGCUAUUAAGAUUAACCAAGUUUUGUCAAAAACAUUGAAAAAUAAGAGGAGAUUAGCAUCAGGAAAAAAGCCACUCUAAAAUCUAUCAUUUCGCCACAUUGAAUGCAGAAGUUCUCAGUAGAAAAUAAAAAUAAUGGAAUAAUGGACUAAAAUGGAUAUGUUGCCCAUGACAAUUGUUCUAUUGCUCAAAUCCAAGUCCUAAUUCUAGAUUAAUUGUUUUCCCUUGAGAAAUAUCUAUAAAAAUAGGAACCUACUUCUCAAACCCAAUUUUGGAAGGCUCAACCAUCCACUUAGGACCUUACCAAUAAAGAAGAUAAUAGGACUUCAUUUAGUUCCUCACUGUAGGGUUGAGCAUUCAGCAGGUCCUAUUCAGUUCGAAAUUUAAUAAAACUGAACUAAAUUGAACUGAAUCCAUUUCAGUAGUUAAAUCAAACCGAACAAAAAUAAUUUGAUUUGGAUCAUUGGUUUUUAAUAUUAAUACACACACACACCCACAAUUCCAGUCAGUUUCAUUAAUUCGUUUUUUCCCCCCUAAACCAAACCUAAUUGAAUUGACAUUAUUACUUGCAAACCAAACCAAACCAAACUGGAAAAAGAACAAAAAAAAAAAAAAACCAAAUUCGAUUUGGUUUUCCGAUUUGAACUGAACGAUGCUUACUUUAAUGGCAGAAUUUUAAUUAUUAGCACCUAGGAUAAUUCCUUUUGGCAAAGAAUGCGGGAGUAUCUAGAAAAUUCAAGUGUAACUUCCAUAUCAAGUUCCCAAUUUAAUUCACUUGACUGAUAAAUUGGGGUGCCAACAUUUUCAUUUAUAGAAUUAGAGAUUAGCUCACUUUGUUAAUGGUCUCUACAGAGAGAUCAAGUUUUUUCAGCACUUAAACUUGAUAGAAACAUUUUGGAUUGCAUUAAACUAAUAAUCAAAUGCAUGACUUUACCCUAAGUUAUCUCAAUACUGAGAUGAGGGAGCCUCCCUCAUCUUUGCUUAUCAAUAUGAGCUCUUCAAUGCCCAACCAGUCUCAAGUAAAUGGAUGAGAAAUCAAAGCUUUACUUCCUCGGUAAUAAGAUCAUCUGUUGCAUAAAAUGCAUUGUUCUCUUAGUUUUGUUUUUCUAUACGUCUAUCUUUUGUAAUCAUACGUGGUUGCAAAUUUGCAAUGCAUGAUCUUUAUAACAAAUGUAUGGGAACUGGUGGUGUGUGCAU